GGUCAAGCUACCAAGGGCGCAUGGGGGAUGUCUUGGCAUUAGGAGGCUUUGAAGGGCGCGGAAGGCUGCGAAAAGCCUGGGGUAACCGUCAAACAGGUGAUGAUCCCGGGAUUCCCGAACUGGCUGUAACUGAAUACAUAGGUUGCAGUGGCCAACGCGGAGAACUGAAACAUCUAAGUAUCCGUAGGAAUAGAAAGAAAAAUCGAUUUCCUGAGUAGCGGCGAGCGAAAGGGAAAUAGCCCAAACCGCGGUGGUUUCCACUGCGGGGUUGUAGGGCCCUCCACCGGAGUUAUCAAACAAUUGGCUAGCAGAAUGAUCUGGAAAGGUCGUCCAUAGAGGGUGACAGACCCGUAUGCGAAAGCUGAUUGUCUCUGGAGGGUACCCUGAGUAGGUCGAGUCACG
rnacentral:rRNA from 1 species